rnacentral:rRNA from 1 species
ACCUACGGGAGGCAGCAGUGAGGAAUAUUGGUCAAUGGGCGCAAGCCUGAACCAGCCAAGUCGCGUGAGGGAUGACGGUCCUAUGGAUUGUAAACCUCUUUUGUCGGGGAGCAAGGCCCGCCACGUGUGGCGGGAAGGAGAGUACCCGAAGAAAAAGGACCGGCUAAUUCCGUGCCAGCAGCCGCGGUAAUACGGAAGGUCCGGGCGUUAUCCGGAUUUAUUGGGUUUAAAGGGAGCGUAGGCCGGCUUUUAAGUCAGCUGUGAAAGUCCGCGGCUCAACCGUGGCAUUGCAGUUGAA